GUCGGUAUUAGAGCUGUUACAGUUGUCUUCCUUAUGCUUCCUCUCUUGUUCAGGUGAAGCAAGUUCCUCUUGAGUUGCAAAUGCUGGCAUCGUCAGAGCUCAGGUGCAGCCAGGAUUGCCAACAGUCUCUUAUUACAAGGGACGUCCCUUAUUUUUCCAUCUCUGUACAACAAGAUUGGGAGUUGCUGAGUGCUGCAAAAAGCAGCAAGAAAUAUCCCUAGUGAAUGUAGAGACCAGCGCUGCAAUCCUGCCUCAGGUCACCCAUGGAACCGUGUUUGAUGUUCUCAUCUGAGUCCCCAGUGGAUGUUGGUCCAUAGCAAAGAAACCCCACACAGUGCAACACAGCUGGGUGCCUCUUCUCAACAGGAGCUCAAGAUGGACAGAACCAGUUCUCCAAUUUGUCAAGGUCAUGUUGAAUCCUGUCCUCCAAAGUACUAGCAAUCCCUCCCAGCUUAGUGUCAUCUGCAAAUUUUAUCAGCAUACUCUCCACUCCAUCAUCCAAGCCAGUAAUGAAAAUAUGGAAUAGCACUGGACCCAGGACACUCCUGUGGGACCUCACUACAAAGGUGAGGCAUGAAAUUGUGCUUACAUUUUGCACACACAAUGAUAUACCUAAGUUUUUGAAAAAUCUUUCCCAUAGAUUCCAAGGUAAAGUAACUAAGGGGACAUUUCUCUCUUGGGCCUGAAAGUGAGUGCAACCUGGAAUGGCAUGAAAUGAAAAUGGAUGAUGAAAACUUAGUAAUUUAUUAGAACAUGAUCAAGGAAAUGAAAAGGUAAAAACUGUGACUACUUGCAAAUUAGCUUUCAGUCCUCAAAGACUUGACUGGGAGCUAUACAAAAACAUCCUUGCCUUGACAGAGAUGCAUGCAUAGAUAUUUGUUCUCAAUCUGGUGACCCAGUGGUAGCAGCCCUGACCUGAUACUGACCAGUCAUCACUGGGAACCAAAUACUUUGCUGGUCUGAGAGAGGGGAGCAACAGCUAGUCACAUGGAUCAUUGUCACAUCAGGAUGGU